CCCAUUGAUCAUUUCCCAUUGAUCAUCUCCCACUGAUCGUUUCCCAUUGAUCAUUCCCCAUUCAUCAUUUCCCAUUCAUCAUUUCCCAUUCAUCAUUUCCCAUUGAUCAUUUCCCAUUGGUCAUUCCCCAUUGAUCAUUUCCCAUUGAUCAUUUCCCCAUUGAUCAUUUCCCCAUUGAUCAUUUCCCAUUCAUCAUUUCCCAUUGAUCAUUUCCCAUUGAUCAUUCCCCAUUGAUCAUCUCCCAUUCAUCAUUUCCCAUUGAUCAUUUCCCAUUGAUCAUUUCCCCAUUGAUCAUUUUCCAUUCAUCAUUUCCCAUUGAUCAUUUUCCAUUCAUCAUUUCCCAUUGAUCAUUUCCCACUGAUUAUUCCCCAUUGAUCAUUCCCCAUUCAUCAUUUCCCAUUGAUCAUCUCCCAUUGAUCAUCUCCCAUUGAUCAUGUCCCAUUGAUCAUGUCCCAUUCAUCAUUUCCCAUUGAUCAUUUCCCAUUGAUCAUUCCCCAUUGAUCAUUUCCCAUUGAUCAUUUCCCAUUGAUCAUUCCCCAUUGAUCAUGUCCCAUUGAUCAUCUCCCAUUCAUCAUUUCCCAUUGAUUGUUUCCCAUAGAUCACUUCCCAUUGAUUAUUUCCCACUGAUCAUCUCUCAUUGAUCAUCUCCUAUUGAUCAUCUCCCACUGAUCAUCUCUCAUUGAUCAUUUCCCAUUCAUCAUUUCCCAUUCAUCAUUUCCCAACAUUUCAGACUUCAUUUGGGACCCCAUUUGGAACCACAUUCGGGGCCUCAUUUGGGACCAAUUUGGGAUCAUUUUGAGAUGAGUUUGGGAUCCCAUUUCAGACCCCAUUCGGGACCAGUUUGGGACCAGUUUGGGACCCCAUUUGGGACCAGUUUGGGAUCAGUUUGUGUCCCCAUUUGGGGUCAAUUUGGGACCCCAUUUCCAGCCCCAUUUGGGGUCAAUUUGGGACCAGUUUGGGACCCCAUUUGGGGUGAAUUUGGGACCAGAUUGGGACCCCAUUUCAAACCCCAUUUGGGACCAGUUUGGGAUCAGUUUGCAUCCCCAUUUGGGACCAGUUUGGAACUCCAUUUCCAGCCCCAUUUGGGGUCAAUUUGGGACCAGUUUGGGACCAGUUUGGGAUCAGUUUGUGUCCCCAUUUGGGGUCAGUUUGGGACCCCAUUUCCGUCCCCAUUUGGGGUCAAUUUGGGACCAGUUUGGGACUCCAUCUGGGGUCAAUUUGGGACCCCAUUUCCGGCCCCAUUUGGGGUCAAUUUGGGACCAGUUUGGGACCAGUUUGCGUCCCCAUUUGGGACCAGUUUGGGACCCCAUUUCCGGCCCCAUUUGGGAUCAGUUUGUGUCCCCAUUUCCGGCCCCAUUUCCGGCCCCAUUCAGGCCCCAUUUGGGGCCGUGCUGGGGCGGCUGCGGCUGUUGCACAAGCGCCGUGCGCUCUUGUGUGUGCACACGCGCGUGUGUGUGUGUGUGUGUGUGCGCGCCCCCCCCCCCCAGCGUUGCACAACCGCCGCCGUCCCCGCACGUGAGCGCGGCUCGGGGCACACGUGGGCGGCCCCGUGAGUGCACAAGGAACCGGGGGGGGGGUGGGGUGGAGGGGGCGGCCCCGUGUCCUCGUGCGCGUCCUCGUGUGUCACCAAGCCCCGUGCGAGGCCUCGUGGGGGGGGGGGGUGGCGCAGGUCCCCGUGUCCCCGUGUGGGUCACCAGUGUGGGGACCCCAGAGCGCUGUGCCCCAUAGCGCUGUCCCCAUAGCAACGCCCCAUAGCGCUGUGCCCCAUAGCGCUGUGUCUAUAGUGAUGUCCCCAUAGCACUGUGCCCCAUAGCGCUGUGCCCCAUAGCACUGUACCCAUAGCGCUGUGCCCCAUAGCAUUGUCCCAUAGCACUGUGCCCCAUAGCGCUGUGCCCCAUAGCGAUGCCCCAUAGCGCUGCCCCAUAGCACAGUCCCCCUAGCGAUGCCUCAUAGUGAUGCCCCAUAGCGCUGUGCCCAUAGCGCUGUGCCCCAUAGCGCUGUGCCCCAUAGCAAUGCCCCAUAGCGCUGUCCCCAUAGCGCUGUGCCCCAUAGCAUUGUCCCAUAGCACUGUGCCCCAUAGCGCUGUCCCCAUAGUGCCCCAUAGCGCUGUGUCUAUAGUGAUGUCCCCAUAGCACUGUGCCCCAUAGCGCUGUGCCCCAUAGCAAUGCCCCAUAGCGCUGUCCCCAUAGUGCCCCAUAGCACUGUGUCUAUAGUGAUGUCCCCAUAGCACUGUGCCCCAUAGCACUGUGCCCCACAGCGCCGUGUCCCGCAUCUCCGUGCCCCAUAGCUCCGUGCCCCACAGCUCCGUGCCCCACAGCACUGUGUCCCGCAUCUCCGUGCCCCAUAGCUCCAUGCCCCAUAGCGCUGUGCCCCACAGCUCCGUGCCCCACAGCUCCGUGCCCCGUAGCGCUGUGCCCCACAGCUCCGUGCCCCCCAGCGCCGUGCCCCACAGCUCCGUGCCCCCCAGCGCCGUGCCCCACAGCUCCGUGCUCCACAGCUCCGUGCCCCACAGCUCCGUGCCCCACAGCUCUGUGCCCCAUAGCACUGUGCCCC
rnacentral:lncRNA from 1 species